rnacentral:lncRNA from 1 species
ACCUUGCUUCAUUGUUUGAAGACAGUUAACAUGCUUGACAGGUGCUGGGGCCCUUAUUAGGUAAUUUUUGCUACCUCUUUCUCUUCAUUACUUUCUUCUGAGUUUCCCUUUUCCUAGCUAUUCUUGAAAAGGCAGGUAAGCCCACCUUACAGUAAUCAGCCCGUGAGGAGCUCCAGCAACAAUUAUAGCAGGACAUUGGCUGAUCAGACUCUCCAAAAAGAAGCUGAUUUAGUAUUAUGCUGAAUGUACUUGCACAUUUGAACUUCUUAACAUUUCACUAGUGUUACUUACUUUUGUACCUGCAAUUUCCAGCCCUCUUUCAUUAUUUAAAUAUAGAUGUAUAUGAGAAAAGAUAGCUUAAUAUGUACAGACCGACAAAAUCCUAAUUUGCCCUUACAAAGUUAGCUUUGCACACGCAGAGAUGGAAUUGCUUUUGCAAAAUAAAAUAAUUAUCAACACAAUCUGCAUAUACUUUCUGUCCCUUCUUCUCCUCUCCCCCAGGAUGAUGUAUGUGAAUGGACUUUGAAAAUGUAACUUUGACUACUUUCGACUUUUUUUUUUUCAUUGACUCUGCCUCUGAGGCAUAUUUGCCUCCAUCCACUCUGUGCUCCAAGCCUUGCUUAUCAGUUUGUCCGUGGAAAUGGAAAUGAAACUGCCUCAGUCUGUGGGUUCCAACAAGAGGUUUGUCAGUCAGCAUUGCAAAUGUGUGGAGUAAGGUACAGUCCCAAAAUUCAGAUGAAAUGAACAUCUAACAUGGACAAUCGCUUUGAAUGUGGAAGGUUUCCAGUUUUCUCCAGAAGUAGGUCCUGUCUCAUAGUUCAAGAAUACACACAAUCACCUCUUUCACCAGCAGUAAGGUAUGAUAUCCUGACUCUCUUUGUCUUAAAGCUAAAUUCUACUAAUACAUACGGGAUUUUGUCUGGCUUAAACUUUCAUAAGCAGGAUUGUAUUUUUAGGAGUAUGUGCUUGACAAUUACUGCA